CCUACGGGCGGCAGCAGUGAGGAAUAUUGGUCAAUGGACGAGAGUCUGAACCAGCCAAGUAGCGUGAAGGAUGACUGCCCUAUGGGUUGUAAACUUCUUUUAUAUGGGAAUAAAACGUUCCACGUGUGGGAUUUUGUAUGUACCAUAUGAAUAAGGAUCGGCUAACUCCGUGCCAGCAGCCGCGGUAAUACGGAGGAUCCGAGCGUUAUCCGGAUUUAUUGGGUUUAAAGGGAGCGUAGGUGGAUUGUUAAGUCAGUUGUGAAAGUUUGCGGCUCAACCGUAAAAUUGCAGUUGAAACUGGCAGUCUUGAGUACAGUAGAGGUAGGCGGAAUUCGUGGUGUAGCGGUGAAAUGCUUAGAUAUCACGAAGAACUCCGAUUGCGAAGGCAGUUCACUGGACUGCAACUGACACUGAGGCUCGAAAGUGUGGGUAUCAAACAGGAUUAGAUACCCGAGUAGUC
rnacentral:rRNA from 1 species